UACGGGGGGGGGCAAGCGUUUGUUCGGAAUUACUGGGCGUAAAGGGCUCGUAGGCGGCCAACUAAGUCGGAUGUGAAAUCCCCAGGCUCAACUUGGGAACUGCAUCCGAUACUGGAUGGCUUGAAUUCGGGAGAGGGAUGCAGAAUUCCAGGUGUAGCGGUGAAAUGCGUAGAUAUCUGGAGGAAUACCGGUGGCGAAGGCGGCAUCCUGGACCGACAUUGACGCUGAGGAGCGAAAGCUAGGGGAGCAAACGGG
rnacentral:rRNA from 1 species